CGACAAGCGGUGGAGUAUGUGGUUUAAUUCGAUGCAACGCGAAGAACCUUGCCUGGUCUUGACAUCCCGGAGACCCUUAGGAAACUAGGGGUGCCUCCAUCUGGAAGAAUCUGGAGACAGGUGCUGCAUGGCUGUCGUCAGCUCGUGUCGUGAGAUGUUGGGUUAAGUCCCGCAACGAGCGCAACCCUUGCCUUUAGUUGCCAGCAGUUCGGCCGGGCACUCUAAAGGGACUGCCGGUGUUAAACCGGAGGAAGGUGGGGAUGACGUCAAGUCCUCAUGGCCUUUAUGACCAGGGCUACACACGUACUACAAUGGCCGAUACAAAGGGCAGCGACACUGCGAGGUGAAGCCAAUCCCGUAAAAUCGGUCUCAGUCCGGAUUGGAGUCUGCAACUCGACUCCAUGAAGUUGGAAUCGCUAGUAAUCGUGGAUCAGCAUGCCACGGUGAAUACGUUCCCGGGCCUU
rnacentral:rRNA from 1 species